rnacentral:rRNA from 1 species
AUUGAACGCUGGCGGCAGGCCUAACACAUGCAAGUCGAGCGGAUGAAGGGAGCUUGCUCCUGGAUUCAGCGGCGGACGGGUGAGUAAUGCCUAGGAAUCUGCCUGGUAGUGGGGGAUAACGUCCGGAAACGGGCGCUAAUACCGCAUACGUCCUGAGGGAGAAAGUGGGGGAUCUUCGGACCUCACGCUAUCAGAUGAGCCUAGGUCGGAUUAGCUAGUUGGUGGGGUAAAGGCCUACCAAGGCGACGAUCCGUAACUGGUCUGAGAGGAUGAUCAGUCACACUGGAAAGGGAAAACGGCCCAACCUCCUAGGGGAGGCAGGAGGGGGAAAUUUUGGACAAGGGGGGAAACCCUGAUCCAGCCAUGCCGGGGGGGGGAAGAAGGUUUUCGGUUUGAAAAGCAUUUUAAGUUGGGAGGAAGGGCAGUAAUUUAAGACCUUGCUUUUUUGACGUUACCAAAAGAAAAAGCCCCGGCUAACUUCGU